rnacentral:rRNA from 1 species
AUUGAACGCUGGCGGCAGGCCUAACACAUGCAAGUCGAGCGGAUGAAGGGAGCUUGCUCCUGGAUUCAGCGGCGGACGGGUGAGUAAUGCCUAGGAAUCUGCCUGGUAGUGGGGGAUAACGUCCGGAAACGGGCGUUAAUACCGCAUACGUCCUGAGGGAGAAAGUGGGGGAUCUUCGGACCUCACGCUAUCAGAUGAGCCUAGGUCGGAUUAGCUAGUUGGUGGGGUAAAGGCCUACCAAGGCGACGAUCCGUAACUGGUCUGAGAGGAUGAUCAGUCACACUGGAACUGAGACACGGUCCAGACUCCUACGGGAGGCAGCAGUGGGGAAUAUUGGACAAUGGGCGAAAGCCUGAUCCAGCCAUGCCGCGUGUGUGAAGAAGGUCUUCGGGUUGUAAAGCACUUUAAGUUGGGAGGAAGGGCAGUAAGUUAAUACCUUGCUGUUUUGACGUUACCAACAGAAUAAGCACCGGCUAACUUCGUG